rnacentral:rRNA from 1 species
AUUGAACGCUAGCGGGAGGCUUAACACAUGCAAGUCGAACGAGUGGCGGACGGGUGCGUAAUGUAGGGGAAAGUGCCUGGUAGAGGGGGAUAACUACUGGAAAGGGUAGCUAAUACCGAAUACUAUCAGAUGGGCCGAGAUGGGAUUAGCUGGUUGGUGGGGUAAAGGCUCACCAAGGCGACGAUCCGUAGCUGGUUUGAGAGGACGACCAGCCACACUGGGACUGAGACACGGCCCAGACGCCUACGGGAGGCAGCAGUGGGGAAUAUUGGACAAUGGGGGAAACCCUGAUGCAGCCAUUCCGCGUGUAUGAGAAGGCCUUCGGGUUGUAAAGUACUUUUGGCAGAGAAGCGUUACCUGCAGAAUAAGCACCGGCUAACUACGUGCCAGCAGCCGCGGUAAUUC